ACUUGUAUUUCUUUCUGUGUUUUCUAUCUUUUGCCAGUUCAUCUUGUUUGUUCAAGCAUAGCAGCGUUUUGUCUUAGCACCUGUUUGUCCCUAGUCUUUAUUUUUUUCUCGUCCUCCUGGUUUUUGACCUUUGCCUGUCCUGACCCUGUACCCACCUGCCUGAUCACUGCCUGUCGUCUUGUACCUUUACUACACCUCUGGAUUAUCGACCUCUGCCUGACCUGAGCCUGCCUGCCAUCCUGUACCUUGACCUCUGCUCUGGAUUAUCGACCUCUGCCUGACCUGAGCCUGCCUGCCAUCCUGUACCUUGACCUCUGCUCUGGAUUAUCGACCCCUGCCUGCCUGGACCUUUCAUUUGCCUGCCCCUGUGUCGUCGCAAGUAUGGUUGUUUGAUCUCUGCUGUGAAGGAAUACCACAAGUCAACUACAUGAUUGAUGAAGGCAUGUCAUUCAGCAAAGUCAGCUGUUCUGUCAUCCACUACAUACACCAUUUCUUUACCAUCUACGGAGUUGGGGAAACAACUGUGGACCUGAAUUGUGACAACUGCAGUGGCCAAAAGUUUGUCCUCUGGUAUUGUGCCUGGAGGAUCAUGCACAGGCUUCACCCCAGUUCGGGACCUUCACUUCCUGAUCACAGGCCACACCAAGUUUGCCCCUGACUGGUGCUUCGGGCUGAUCAAGCAACUCUUCAGAAAGACCAGUGAACAGAGAUUGCUGGUGUGGUGAAGGACAGCACUGUGACAGGGGUCAGAAUUCCAUGGCUGGUUGGACUGGAGGAUGAUACGGUGGUGAUGGAAAGCUAUGGCUGGCAAUAACACCUGUACUUCAGGCCUCUGCCACAGAUCAAGCAGUACCAGCACUUCAGCUUUGAUGCUCUGGAGCCUGGUGUUGUUGUCGCCACGGAGCGUUUGGACAAGUUUCAGCUGCUGCACGAAGCUGAAGUCCUUCCUCCCAAAGAUGGUCUGCCUGUACAAGUUUUGCAACAAAGAGGCCAGGGACUUCACAUGAUGAAUGAUGCCGAAUAGUUCUUUAGUACAGUGGGAGCUGUGCUGGGAUGUGUGGACCUCACCUUCUUCCCCCUGGACACCAUUAAGGCCAGAAUGCAGAGCCAGCAGGGCUUCGCAAAGGUUGGGAGUUUCCGGGGCAUCUAUGCAGGGGUCUCAUCAGCUGCCAUCGGCUCUUUCCCCAAUGAUGAGUCACUCAUUAUGAGUCUCUGGCACCACUAAGACACCACAGACAUAGGCUACCUGUUGACAAACUAUAAUAGCCUACCCAGCAUGGAGAGCAUCUGAUGGGCAAGUUUAUUAAUGUUUCAAGUGUAAUUUUUUCAAAUUCUGUCAUUCUCUGACAUGCACAGUCAACUGUGGGACCUUUUAUAUAACAAGUGUGUUCCUUUCCAAAUCAUGUCCAAUCAAUUGAAUUUCCCACAGGUGGACUCCAAUCAAGUUGUAAAAACAUCUCAAGGAUCAUAAAUGGAAACUGGAUAAACCUGAGCUCAAUUUCGAGUCUCAUAUCAAAGGGUCUGAAUACUUGUGUAAAUAAAUUAUUAAAAAAAA